CUCUGGUAUACAUCGGUCUAUAACCGAUGUCAACUCCUACAUUAUCUACAGCAAUUAAACAUCUUAUGGAGUUUGUCUACAAUCUCUACAACUAAGCCAUAGCUGGCCAUGAUCUUAUAUACAGCUAGCCACACAGCUGGCAGACACAGCUAAGUAUAACCUCACUUCCAGCUCAUAUGUAUAGCUAUACUCUAGCUCAUUUACAGCUGACUAUAACCAUCUAACAAACUCUUCUAAUGGCC
rnacentral:lncRNA from 1 species